UUACUAGCGAUGACAAAGAUAAAGUACAAUUGCCCGCUGAUUUUUAGAGAGCUUAUGGUUGGUGGAAAUAAGCAUCAAGGUAAAUUGGAAUUGGGCUUUCGAGCUAAUGAACUUUCAAGUGAUUCUACAUAAAAUGUAGAAUAAUUAAGGGUGGCACCGCGGUUCAAUCGUCCCUAUU
rnacentral:ncRNA from 1 species